rnacentral:rRNA from 1 species
UACGUAGGGACCAAGCGUUGUUCGGAUUUACUGGGCGUAAAGGGCGCGUAGGCGGCAAUUCAAGUCAUCUGUGAAAUCUCCGGGCUUAACCCGGAACGGUCAGGUGAUACUGUUUUGCUAGAGUGCGGAAGGGGCAAUCGGAAUUCUCGGUGUAGCGGUGAAAUGCGUAGAGUAUCGAGAGGAACACCAGAGGUGAAGACGGGUUGCUGGGCCGACACGUGACGCUGACAGCGCGAAAGCCAGGGGAGCAAACGGG